rnacentral:rRNA from 1 species
UGUGACCUACGGGGCGCAGCAGUGGGGAAUAUUGCACAAUGGGGGGAACCCUGAUGCAGCGACGCCGCGUGGGUGAAGAAGUAUUUCGGUAUGUAAAGCUCUAUCAGCAGGGAAGAAGAUGGUGGUACCUGACUAAGAAGCCCCGGCUAACUACGUGCCAGCAGCCGCGGUAAUACGUAGGGGGCAAGCGUUAUCCGGAUUUACUGGGUGUAAAGGGAGCGUAGACGGCAGGGCAAGUCUGG